UCCCUGGUGGCUCAGAGGUUAAAGCGACUGCCUGGAAUGCGGGAGACCCAGGUUUGAUCCCUGGGUCGGGAA
rnacentral:tRNA from 1 species